UACGAAGGGGGCUAGCGUUGCUCGGAAUUACUGGGCGUAAAGCGCACGUAGGCGGGUUCUUAAGUCGGUGGUGAAAUCCUGGAGCUCAACUCCAGAACUGCCUCGAAACUGGGAAUCUUGAGUCCGGGAGAGGUGAGUGGAACUGCGAGUGUAGAGGUGAAAUUCGUAGAUAUUCGCAAGAACACCAGUGGCGAAGGCGGCUCACUGGCCCGAUACUGACGCUGAGGCACGAAAAGCGUGGGGGAGCAAACAGGG
rnacentral:rRNA from 1 species